rnacentral:rRNA from 1 species
CCUACGGGAGGCAGCAGUGAGGAAUAUUGGUCAAUGGGCUUACGCCUGAACCAGCCAAGUCGCGUGAGGGAAGACUGCCCUAUGGGUUGUAAACCUCUUUUGUCAGGGAGCAAUUGGCGCUACGUGUAGCGUUAUCUAUAGUACCUGAAGAAAAAGCAUCGGCUAACUCCGUGCCAGCAGCCGCGGUAAUACGGAGGAUGCGAGCGUUAUCCGGAUUUAUUGGGUUUAAAGGGUGCGUAGGCGGAAUGCCAAGUCAGCGGUAAAAUCGCGGGGCUCAACCUCGCUCCGCCGUUGAAACUGGCGUUCUUGAGUGGGCGAGAAGUAGGCGGAAUGCGUGGUGUAGCGGUGAAAUGCAUAGAUAUCACGCAGAACUCCGAUUGCGAAGGCAGCAUACCGGAGCCCAACUGACGCUGAAGCACGAAAGCGUGGGUAUCGAACAGGAUUAGAUACCCUUGUAGUC